rnacentral:rRNA from 1 species
UUCCAGACUCCUACGGGAGGCAGCAGUGAGGAAUAUUGGUCAAUGGGCGAGAGCCUGAACCAGCCAAGUCGCGUGAGGGAAGACGGUCCUAUGGAUUGUAAACCUCUUUUGCCGGGGAGCAAAAAGCGGUACGUGUACCGCAUCGAGAGUACCCGGAGAAAAAGCAUCGGCUAACUCCGUGCCAGCAGCCGCGGUAAUACGGAGGAUGCGAGCGUUAUCCGGAUUUAUUGGGUUUAAAGGGUGCGCAGGCGGCGAGUUAAGUCAGGGGUAAAAUUUCGGGGCUCAACCCCGGCGAGCCGUUGAAACUGGCUGUCUUGAGAUGUCGAGAGGUAUGCGGAAUGCGCAGUGUAGCGGUGAAAUGCUUAGAUAUUGCGCAGAACUCCGAUUGCGAAGGCAGCAUACCGGCGGCGAUCUGACGCUGAGGCACGAAAGCGUGGGUAUCGAACAGGAUUAGAUACCCUCGUAC